rnacentral:lncRNA from 1 species
GCAGAGCGCUUACAAGUAUGGGCGUAGGGGCCCCCAUCGAGGAAAUUUCAACAAAAGCCUUCAAACGAGCCCCCUUCACUAAGCCUCCAUUUACUCAUGACGACCUCAGGAAAGCUAUUCCUCCUCACUGUUUCCAGCGCUCAAUCCCUCACUCUUUCCUCUACUUAUUUUACGAUGUAGCCGCCGUGUUUACCCUCUACCAUGUAGCCACAGAUUUCAUUCCUCUUCUGCCAAUCCAAUUAAGGUACUUGGCAUGGCCGGUGUACUGGGUGGCGCAAGGCUGCGUCAUGGUUGGGAUCUCGGAGAUAGCCCACGGGUGCGGUCACCACUCUUUCAGCGACCACGAGUGGCUCGACGACGUCGUGGGGUUGCUCCUCUACUCACCCCUCCUCAUCCCUUACUUCUCCUUCAAAUUCUCACACGGCAGACACCACGCCAACAUGGGUUCCAUCGGCCGCGAGGAAGCCCUCGCCACGAAGCGAAGGGAUGCCCUCAGCCAGAGAGGCGAAAGGAUCUUCCAGUGGCUCCGCAAAACGCCUUUCAGGCUCAUCAUCAUCACCGGGGGACUUCUCUUCGGGGUCCAGCUCUCCCUCACCAUCGGGUUCGGUGGCAGACAAUAUAACCAAAUCUCCAGUCUCCUCAAUCCUUGGAGUCCGAUCUUCAGUCGAAAAGAGCGGCUCCAAGUCGUCAUAUCCGAUAUCUUCCUGGCAGCCGCCCUGUACACGUACUAUCAGAUAGGGGUGACACAAGGGUGGGAAUGGUUCUUAUGCGUUUACGGAGGGCCGUACGUAGUCCACAACGCUUUGGCGGUCAUGAUGGUAUCCCUGUCACACAUGCAUCCGGCACUGCCGCGAUACGACUCCGACGAGUGGGACUGGCUCCGGGGAUCCCUCAGCACGGUCGACAGGGACUGGGGCGUCCUGAACCACACGUUCCACCACAUGCCUGACCUCCACGUGGUUCACCACCUCUUCCCGAAGAUGCCGCAUUACCACCUCCAGGAGGCCACCCAUUACGUGAGGCCCAUCUUGGGCGAGUAUUAUCAGCGCGACACAACGCCUAUCCACAAAGCCCUCUUCAGAGAGGUUCAAUGCUUGGCUUUCGUCCAGAAAGAUAACGACGUUAAACAUGGAGGUGUAUUCUGGUUUGCCAUCGAUAAAUCAUGA